CAGUAGCCGCGGUAAUGCGUAGGUGGCAAGCGUUGUCCGGAAUUAUUGGGCGUAAAGGGCUCGCAGGCGGUUUCUUAAGUCUGAUGUGAAAGCUCCCGGCUCAACCGGGGAGGGUCAUUGGAAACUGGGAAACUUGAGUGCAGAAGAGGAGAGUGGAAUUCCACGUGUAGCGGUGAAAUGCGUAGAGAUGUGGAGGAACACCAGUGGCGAAGGCGACUCUCUGGUCUGUAACUGACGCUGAGGAGCGAAAGCGUGGGGAGCGAACAGGAUUAGAUACCCCCGUAGUCCCUGUCUCUUAUAC
rnacentral:rRNA from 1 species